CAGGAAAUAGUUUAAAUAGAAUAAUAGCUUUGGGGGUUGUAGGUGUGAGUGUGGAUUCUUGCUUUUCUGA
rnacentral:tRNA from 1 species